GAUUACCUAUGCAGCCGGAGCCCGGAGCCGGAGAAGACGAAUGCCAAUGGCGGGGAACCAGGGAGGGAGGCGGAUCUGCGAGGGGAGGAGCGGUUUCGAUGAGGGAACCAGAGAGGGAGGCGGAUCUGCGAGGAGUCGGAGGGAGGAGUGGUUACGGGGAGCCGGGGAGGGAGGUGGAGGGGCUAGGGGAGGAGCGGUUACGGGGAGGGAGGCGGAGGGGCUACCGGCAAGCUGGCGGCGGGCGAGGACGGCGGAUCUGUGAGGGGAGGGGCGGUUACAGGGAGGGAGGCGGAGGGGCGAGGGAUGGAGGGAGCGCGGUUCGAAGGG
rnacentral:lncRNA from 1 species